rnacentral:tRNA from 1 species
GGAGAGGUCGCAUAGUGGUCUAGUGCGCUCGCUUGGAAAGCGAGUAAAGGGAAACCUUUCGCGGGUUCGAAUCCCGCCCUCUCCG